rnacentral:rRNA from 1 species
GACAGAGGGUGCAAACGUUGUUCGGAAUUACUGGGCGUAAAGCGCGUGUAGGCGGCUACGUGUGUCGGGCGUGAAAUCCCAUGGCUCAACCAUGGAAGUGCACCCGAAACUGCGUAGCUAGAGUCCUGGAGAGGAAGGUGGAAUGCUUGGUGUAGAGGUGAAAAUUCGUAGAUAUCAAGCGGAACACCGGUGGCGAAGGCGGCCUUCUGGACAGUGACUGACGCUGAGACGCGAAAGCGUGGGGAGCAAACAGG